UCUCCUGACCUCGUGAUCCACCCCCCUCGGCCUCCCAAAGUGCUGGGAUUACAGGCGUGAGCCACAGCCCCUGGCCUCAACUGCUGUUUCUUUCAAAGAUGCAUACAAUUGAUUUAAUUCAGAUCUUGUUUUUAAUAUGUAUUCACCAUUGGACAAUGCAUGGUUUCUUUAAAUUUAAUUCAGUUGGAACCUGACGGAUGACUUCGGCCUGCUGGCAUGCUCUUUUCGUUUUACCGUUCCGUGCGUGCUCCAUUCCCCAUAGCCAUCAUCUUGAUUUUGUGUUUAUCAAUCCAUUGCUUUUUUAUAAUUUUCCUGGAUAUACAUAUUUAUCUAAAAAAUAUAACGUUUACAUUUGCUUAUUUUGAAAUUUAUUAGAAAAUAUUAUUCUGCAUGUAAACUUUAGAGUCAUUUUUUUGCCCAAUAUUUCGUUCCUCAUAUUUAAUCAUAUUAUUACAGAUAGCUGUAAUUGUUAUUGUUUAACACUUCGCUGUGGGAAAAUGAAACAGUCUAUCUAUUCUCCUGUCCAUGGCGUAUGAUUCCUUCUUGAUAUUAUGAUCAGUGCUGGUUUGAAUAUUUUUAUGUCUUCUAGUGUGUAUGUAAUCAACUAUAUAAUCCUGGAAAAUAAUAAAAUGUUUUAAACUGGUCAUUUUUCUCAUACAUCAACUUCAUUUUGGCUUUGCUCAGAAUGAAUUUCUUAGAAAAAAUAGUUAUAAUUAUUAAGAAAACAUUAGAA
rnacentral:lncRNA from 10 species